GGUGCGUUUAUUUUAGUUAAUAUCUAAUUUAAAGGAUUUGUUUUCUUUUAUUAUUAACUAGGAGCGGUCCCCGCGCCCGGCGCGGAGUUGUAGGGAUUUUAAUACCAUUAUUAGUAAUGAACAAUUAAUAGUGUUUAAUCAUAAUAUAUAUAAUAGAAACAUAAAUGAGAAAAAUGAUAUAUUUAAACAAUAGAUAUAUUAUUAAAAUAAUGAUAGUUGCAUAAAAAAAAUGCAAUAAAAAACUGGAUUUUGGUUGAUGUUGUGUGUCAUGAUUUUUUCUCCACAUUGCCUUAGUUUGGUUCAAAGGUUAUGUGUUUAAGCAUGUUUUUUAAUAUGUGGGUUAGUCACUUAAAAAAUAGACCACUCGUUAAAAACUGGUUUCGUGGAGAUAAAUUCAAUCUGAUGAAUGUUGUCUAUGCACUUUUGCAAUGGAGUCUCGAAAUCAUCUCAUGUUCCUCUGUGAGCGCUUCCGAGGUGUGAAAUUUGUUUUUUUCUAGGCUUUAUUCUCGACAAAAGUUGUUUUGCCAUUGGGCUAAGCUACUUUCUUGGACCUGACGCUCUUCCUCUCUUGAGACACUUAAAUAAUUGUCCAUUCAUCAAAGACAGGUUUCUUGGGAAUAAAUUCAAUCUGAUGAGUGUUUUCUUUGCAUUUUUGCAACGGAGUCUCGGGAUCACCUCCUGCUCCUCUGAAGCAGGAUAAUAAACCAGACGUGUUCUUUUGUUUCGAGGUAGUUUUGUCAUUAAUCAUUAAAAAUUAAUUCGUCUUCUAUAAAUUUUGGCUUAUCGUUAGAAAAAUGUAGUGGUCAUAUCAUCGUCUGUGUGAUUUGAUUCGCAAAAUUAGAGUAUUCUCAAGGUGUUGACCUACAUAUAUUAAUAUGUAAUUGUGUAUAUGUUGUGUAAUUUUCAAAUGUUUGUUUUAAAUAUGUUAUUUUGGUUUGAUUAGGUGUCUUAAGGAGAAUUACUGCACGUAUAUGCAAUCAGGUUCUGUUCAACCCUAAAUGUCUAGAGUUUUGGAGGAUGUGGUAUUUUUUUGCUGGCAAGGAUCACACAUUUUGCACUUGAGAUUCCGAGACUCCGUUGCAAAAGUGCAAAAUGUGCUUAAUAACUAUAAAUUUUUGUGAUCCUUAACACAAAACGA